rnacentral:lncRNA from 1 species
CUGCGCUUCCGAGUGGCGACUGCAGCGGGUCCGGUGCAGGUGAGGGGCGCGCGCCUGCCCAGCUUUGCAGCCCCCGAACGCGGCCUCGCACAGGCCCUCCCUAUCCUGAAGAGAUUAAGAGUCUAGCACCUUUUAAGGUCUGAAUAGGAAACAUUUGUCAUCUGUCAUCUCUAAGGGCAGCCACUGUAAGACUUCAGAGAACCUUGCUCUCCACAAUUUUUUAUCUUAACCUGAACAUUUCCUUUCUAUUGAUCCCAGGUCUUUAGACAAACUCAACCAAUUGUCAAUCAGAAAAUGUUUACAUUUAUCUAUAGCCUGGAAGCCACCCCCCGCCCCGCGCACUUUGAGUUGUCACGCCUUUUUGAACCAAACCAAUGUAUUUCUUGAACGUAUUUCAUUGAUGUGUCAUGCCUCUCUAAAAUGUAUAAAAUCAAGCUGCACCCUGACCACCUUGGGCACAUGUUCUCAGGACCUCCUGAGGGCUGAGUCACGGGCCAUGGUCACUCAUAUUUGGCUCGGAAUAAAUCUCUUAAAAUAUUUUACAGAGUUUGACUCUUUUUUGUUGACAUAGUAGAGUGAGGAGUGAACAAGG